UACGUAGGGGGCAAGCGUUGUCCGGAAUCAUUGGGCGUAAAGAGCGCGUAGGCGGCUUAGUAAGUCUGCUGUGAAAUCCCAGGGCUCAACCCUGGAAAGCCAGUGGAUACUGCUGGGCUAGAGUGCGGAAGAGGCGAGUGGAAUUCCUGGUGUAGCGGUGAAAUGCGCAGAUAUCAGGAGGAACACCAAUGGCGAAGGCGGUUCGCUGGUACGUUACUGACGCUGAGACGCGAAAGCGUGGGGAGCAAACAGG
rnacentral:rRNA from 1 species